rnacentral:ncRNA from 2 species
UUGCUCAGCCAGGGGUGCUGCCGGAUCGUCCGACAGCUGAGAUCACACCCUUAGAACCUGAUCUGGUUUGCACCAGCGGAGGGACGGCGAGCAGGCAAGGCC